CCUACGGGGCGCAGCAGUGGGGAAUAUUGGACAAUGGGCGAAAGCCUGAUCCAGCCAUGCCGCGUGUGUGAAGAAGGCCUUCGGGUUGUAAAGCACUUUCAGUGGGGAAGAAAGCCUUGGGGCUAAUACCCUCGAGGAAGGACAUCACCCACAGAAGAAGCACCGGCUAACUCCGGGCCAGCAGCCGCGGUAAUACGGAGGGUGCGAGCGUUAAUCGGAAUUACUGGGCGUAAAGCGCGCGUAGGCGGUCUGAUAAGCCGGUUGUGAAAGCCCCGGGCUCAACCUGGGAACGGCAUCCGGAACUGUCAGGCUAGAGUGCAGGAGAGGAAGGUAGAAUUCCCGGUGUAGCGGUGAAAUGCGUAGAGAUCGGGAGGAAUACCAGUGGCGAAGGCGGCCUUCUGGACUGACACUGACGCUGAGGUGCGAAAGCGUGGGUAGCAAACAGGAUUAGAUACCCCAGUAGUC
rnacentral:rRNA from 1 species